rnacentral:rRNA from 1 species
UACGUAGGGUGCAAGCGUUAUCCGGAAUUAUUGGGCGUAAAGAGCUCGUAGGCGGCUUGUCGCGUCGGAUGUGAAAGCCCGGGGCUUAACUCCGGGUCUGCAUUCGAUACGGGCAGGCUAGAGUUCGGUAGGGGAGAUCGGAAUUCCUGGUGUAGCGGUGAAAUGCGCAGAUAUCAGGAGGAACACCGGUGGCGAAGGCGGAUCUCUGGGCCGAUACUGACGCUGAGGAGCGAAAGCGUGGGGAGCGAACAGA